UAUCCGUCAACGGAGCUUGCUCCACCGAAAGAAAAAGAGUGGCGAACGGGUGAGUAACACGUGGGUAACCUGCCCAUCAGAAGGGGAUAACACUUGGAAACAGGUGCUAAUACCGUAUAACACUAUUUUCCGCAUGGAAGAAAGUUGAAAGGCGCUUUUGCGUCACUGAUGGAUGGACCCGCGGUGCAUUAGCUAGUUGGUGAGGUAACGGCUCACCAAGGCAACGAUGCAUAGCCGACCUGAGAGGGUGAUCGGCCACACUGGGACUGAGACACGGCCCAGACUCCUACGGGAGGCAGCAGUAGGGAAUCUUCGGCAAUGGACGAAAGUCUGACCGAGCAACGCCGCGUGAGUGAAGAAGGUUUUCGGAUCGUAAAACUCUGUUGUUAGAGAAGAACAAGGAUGAGAGUAAAACGUUCAUCCCUUGACGGUAUCUAACCAGAAAGCCACGGCUAACUACGUGCCAGCAGCCGCGGUAAUACGUAGGUGGCAAGCGUUGUCCGGAUUUAUUGGGCGUAAAGCGAGCGCAGGCGGUUUCUUAAGUCUGAUGUGAAAGCCCCCGGCUCAACCGGGGAGGGUCAUUGGAAACUGGGAGACUUGAGUGCAGAAGAGGAGAGUGGAAUUCCAUGUGUAGCGGUGAAAUGCGUAGAUAUAUGGAGGAACACCAGUGGCGAAGGCGGCUCUCUGGUCUGUAACUGACGCUGAGGCUCGAAAGCGUGGGAGCGAACAGGAUUAGAUACCCUGGUAGUCCACGCCGUAAACGAUGAGUGCUAAGUGUUGGAGGGUUUCCGCCCUUCAGUGCUGCAGCAACGCAUUAAGCACUCCGCCUGGGGAGUACGACCGCAAGGUUGAAACUCAAGGAAUUGACGGGGGCCCGYACAAGCGGUGGAGCAUGUGGUUAAUUCGAAGCAACGCGAAAACCUUACAGGUCUUGACAUCCUUUGACCACUCUAGAGAUAGAGCUUCCYCUUCGGGGGCAAAGUGACAGGUGGUGCAUGGCU
rnacentral:rRNA from 1 species